rnacentral:tRNA from 1 species
GGGUCCAUAGCUUAAAGGUUAGAGCAUACGCGUGUGACACGUAAUGUUGAUUGUUCGAAUCAAUCUGGACCCA